UACGAAGGGGGCUAGCGUUGCUCGGAAUGACUGGGCGUAAAGGGCGCGUAGGCGGUUUGUACAGUCAGAUGUGAAAUUCCUGGGCUCAACCUGGGGGCUGCAUUUGAUACGUAUGGACUGGAGUGAGGAAGAGGGUCGUGGAAUUCCCAGUGUAGAGGUGAAAUUCGUAGAUAUCGGGAAGAACACCCGUGGCUAAGGCGGCUCUCUAGUACGGUACUGACGCUGAGACGCGAAAGCGUGGGGAGCGAACAGG
rnacentral:rRNA from 1 species